UCUUCCCUGAUAGACUUAUUUUUGUGUUUCUUGCUUGAAUUUUCUAAUAACUCUCACUUUUUUAUUCAAUACAGAGCUUUCCCUGUUUGCUCUUGAAAACUUCCUUGAGUACAGUCACAUGACCCACUUUAAUAGGGUCUACUCUUAUUCAGGUGGUCUCUUAGGCCUCCCAGGUGUUUCUCAUAAGAAAGACAGCAGCCACUCUGUAGGUAAUGGAUACUAGUCACACAGCAACUUCUGGCUAAGAAAACCCUGAGUUAAGGGCUGUAUCUUCAGAAACAAAGGGAAGAGAGAAUUGAGCAGCAGACUGGAGGUUCAGUCUCUUCUUGCGUCUAUUGCUACCUUUGCUGCUGGAGUGGACUGGAAGGAGCUUUUUCCAUACUGGAAAAAUGCCCGACAGAUGGAGAUAAAACAGAGUGGUUCCUAUCUCUAAGCAUGAAGAAGAUGUGCAAAAAUGUAGUAAUUAGCACCCAUCAACUUAAUGAGUCACAUGAUGAAAUGACGGCACAAAAUUAUUGAGAAAAGACUUCAGAAGAAGCUGCAG